rnacentral:rRNA from 1 species
GGAACUGUGGGGACACGUAAGGAAAGCGGAAGCCGGGAAUGGAAAGCCCGGUGCAAGCGGGGUACCAGUCACUCUGGCAAAUCCGGGUGGCAAUGGGAAGCCGUGAUGCGGAGCGAAAUAAAGUAGCGAAGUCCGUGAGCCAUGCGUCAAGAAAAGCCGCUAUCGUUUAUACCGUACCCGUACCGUAAACCGACACAGGUGGAUGAGGAGAGAAUCCUAAGGCCGGCGGAAGAAGCAUUGUCAAGGAACUCGGCAAAAUGGCCCCGUAACUUAGGGAUAAGGGGUGCCUGGGAAACCAGGCCGCAGAGAAUAGGCUCAAGCAACUGUUUAGCAAAAACACAGGUCUAUGCGAAACCGAAAGGUGAGGUAUAUGGGCUGACGCCUGCCCGGUGCUGGAAGGUUAAGAGGAGAGGUUAGCGCAAGCGAAGCUUUGAAUUUAAGCCCCAGUAAACGGCGUCCGUAACAAUAACGGUCCUAAGGUAGCGAAAUUCCUUGUCGGGUAAGUUCCGACCCGCACGAAAGGCGUAAUGAUUUGAGCGCUGUCUCGACAAUGCAUCCGGUGAAAUUGAAGUACCAGUGAAGACGCUGGUUACCUGCGCCAGGACGGAAAGACCCCAUGGAGCUUUACUCCAGUUUGGUACUGGGACUCGGUAUUGCAUGUACAGGAUAGGUGGGAGGCUAGGAGAUAGUAACGCCAGUUAUUAUGGAGCCGCUGUUGGGAUACCACCCUUGCAGUAUUGGGUUUCUAACCAGCCGCCGUGACCCGGCGGUGGGACAAUGCCAGACGGGGAGUUUGACUGGGGCGGUCGCCUCCGAAAGGGUAUCGGAGGCGCCCAAAGGUUCCCUCAGAAUGGACGGAAACCAUUCGAAGAGUGCAAAGGCAGAAGGGAGCUUGACUGCGACACCGACGGGUGGAGCAGGUACGAAAGUAGGGCUUAGUGAUCCGGUGGUAUUAAGUGGGAAUGCCAUCGCUCAACGGAUAAAAGCUACCCUGGGAUAACAGGCUUAUCACUCCCAAGAGUUCACAUCGACGGAGUGGUUUGGCACCUCGAUGUCGGCUCAUCGCAUCCUGGGGCUGUAGUAGGUCCCAAGGGUUGGGCUGUUCGCCCAUUAAAGCGGUACGCGAGCUGGGUUCAGAACGUCGUGAGACAGUUCGGUCCCUAUCCGGCGUGGGCGUAGGAUAUCUGAGAGGAGCUGUCCUUAGUACGAGAGGACCGGGAUGGACGGGCCGCUGGUGCAUCGGUUAGACUGCCAAGUCUACGGCCGAGUAGCCAAGCCCGGAAGGGAUAAACGCUGAAGGCAUCUAAGCGUGAAGCCCCCCUUAAGAUGAGAUAUCCCAUUCGAAAGAAGUAAACCCCCUUGAAGACGACGAGGUAGAUAGGGCAGAGGUGGAAGUGUGGCAACACAUGGAGCUGACUGUUACUAAUCGGGUGAGGGCUUGACCU